AAUCUGCCCUCAGGAGGGGGACAACAGCUGGAAACGGCUGCUAAUACCCCAUAUGCCGCGAGGUGAAAUGAAUUUCGCCUGAGGAUGAGCUCGCGUCUGAUUAGCUAGUUGGUGUAGGUAAUGGCUCACCAAGGCAUCGAUCAGUAGCUGGUCUGAGAGGAUGAUCAGCCACACUGGGACUGAGACACGGCCCAGACUCCUACGGGAGGCAGCAGUGGGGAAUUUUCCGCAAUGGGCGAAAGCCUGACGGAGCAACGCCGCGUGAGGGAUGAAGGCCUCUGGGCUGUAAACCUCUUUUAUCAAGGAAGAAGAUCUGACGGUACUUGAUGAAUAAGCCACGGCUAAUUCCGUGCCAGCAGCCGCGGUGAUACGGGAGUGGCAAGCGU
rnacentral:rRNA from 1 species